CGUGAACAUACAUGUGUGUGUGUGUUCUCACUCUCUGUGUCAGUCGACAAACAAAAUAACCACGUCUCAUGGCCGAAAGCGAGCGGAAACAGAAUGGUUGCCACGAGUUGAUCGGUGAAGUGUAACGCGGAUCCAUAAGUCAUGAGAUGAAGCACGUUCAAACGACCCUCGACAAACUGAACGAGCGUUGACACGAUGUAAAAGACGCGAGAACACGAAGAGAUUUGUUAUUCUCUUUUUACGUAAUCAAAUAGCCAGGAACAAACUCGCAUUGCGACUUUCAUUUCGUUCUCUAUUACGCCAUACGGAGGAAAAAAAAGAAAAAAUAGAACGAAAACUGUUUCGAUAGAAAUUAUGAAACACAAGGAUGAUUAACGAAUUGCAAAUGAAAUGAUCCAAGAGUAAGAAUCUCCUAUGGACACAAUGGAAAUGUUUGCUGCCAAUUUGAUCAAGAACUGGAUUCCGCAUUACUUGCAAAUGUCCAUUGAAUAAAUUCAAGAGGAUCGAAAAGGCUACUAUCCUCUCGAGGCUUUGUUCCUCUAUUUUUAUUUUUAUCUGCAAAUCAAAUUAACCGACCGCAUAAUGUUCAUGGAAGAACCUUCGUUCUUCCAUUCUUUUAUCCGUAUUAUUUCCUUCCUUCUCACGGAGUUUCCUUUCUUAUGGGCUAGGAACCGUAUCCUAGUGAUGUAUGAUGUCGGCAGAUUCUGUCUAACGAUUCAGAACGACCGCAUUGAACUUUGUAAUCAGCUAUUCCCGACUUCGUUAGAAUGCGUUUGCUUCGAAUGGUAUUCAUAUUGGUAUUACGAUUGGGCUAUUCUUCAAUGUUCCUUUCAAAGUUCCACCAACAUUCAUCUCUCUUAAGAGUACUUAACUUUUAUAGAUGUUGGAAUAUUAAGUUCUCAUUGCUAAAAUAAUUUUAUUCUAGUUUUAAAAGAUUUUAACAUUAUAGAAUUUGCAGAAUUUUGAUUUUCCAAAUCUUAUUGUCUGGAAAUUUACUUCAAAAAGAUCAUUGUGUUC